rnacentral:rRNA from 1 species
UGAACGCUGGCGGCAGGCCUAACACAUGCAAGUCGAGCGAGAAAGCACUUCGGUGCGAGUACAGCGGCGAACGGGUGAGUAACGCGUAGGAAUCUACCCAGUAGUGGGGGACAACAGUCGGAAACGGCUGCUAAUACCGCAUACGCCCCAAGGGGGAAAGCGGGGGAUCUUCGGACCUCGCGCUAUUGGAUGAGCCUGCGUCGGAUUAGCUUGUUGGUGAGGUAAAAGCUCACCAAGGCGACGAUCCGUAGCUGGUCUGAGAGGAUGAUCAGCCACACUGGAACUGAGACACGGUCCAGACUCCUACGGGAGGCAGCAGUGGGGAAUAUUGCGCAAUGGGGGAAACCCUGACGCAGCCAUGCCGCGUGUGUGAAGAAGGCCUUAGGGUUGUAAAGCACUUUCAAUAGAGAGGAAAAGCUUGUCGCUAAUACCGGCAAGCCAUGACGUUACCUAUAGAAGAAGCACCGGCUAACUCC